rnacentral:rRNA from 1 species
GAGACUCUGUGCGCGUGCAUAUCAAUAAGCGGAGGAAAAGAAACUAACAAGGAUUCCCCUAGUAACGGCGAGUGAAGCGGGAAGAGCUCAAAUUUGAAAUCUUAAAGGGUUUCCCUUUACGAGUUGUAGUUUAAAGAAGUGUUUUCUGUUGGAGUUUCGGUAAAAGUUCUUUGGAAUAGGACAUCAUAGAGAGUGAGAAUCCCGUAUUUGACCGUUACUUUCCAGCUGUGUGAUACACUUUCAAAGAGUCGGAUUGUUUGGGAAUGCAGUCCAAGAUGGGUGGUAAAUUUCAUCUAAAGCUAAAUAUUGGCGAGAGACCGAUAGCGAACAAGUACCGUGAGGGAAAGAUGAAAAGAACUUUGAAAAGAGAGUUAAACAGUACGUGAAAUUGUCAAAAGGGAAGCGUUUGACACCAGUGUUGUUUUUCCGAAAAUCAAUUACGAAUGUUUUGUUUUUAAGAAGUUAUGACUUCAUCGGCUUGCUUCUUUCUUUACGAAACUUUCUUAAUGCACUUUUCGGUUAACAAGUCAACAUCAAUUUCUUUUGUUGUAAAAGGGUAUGAGGAAGGUGGCUUUCUUUUCGGAGAAAGUGUUUAUAGCCUUGUGACCUCUGCAAUCGGAGAGAUUGAGGUCUGCAGCGUAGAUCCUUCGGGGUUAGAUACAGUUUGUGCUAAGUUAUAGCUUUUCAUAGACAACUUGUUGACUAUGUUUAGUCUUGUAGCUUACUCGCUUAUGCUAUUUUACCUACGCUUAGGAUGUUGACAGCAGUAUAGACUGU